rnacentral:rRNA from 1 species
AGAGUUUGAUCCUGGCUCAGGACGAACGCUGGCGGCGCGCCUAACACAUGCAAGUCGAACGAGAGAGAGGAAGCUUGCUUCCUCAAUCGAGUGGCGAACGGGUGAGUAACGCGUGAGGAACCUGCCUCAAAGAGGGGGACAACAGUUGGAAACGACUGCUAAUACCGCAUAAGCCCACAGCUCGGCAUCGAGCAGAGGGAAAAGGAGCAAUCCGCUUUGAGAUGGCCUCGCGUCCGAUUAGCUAGUUGGUGAGGUAACGGCCCACCAAGGCGACGAUCGGUAGCCGGACUGAGAGGUUGAACGGCCACAUUGGGACUGAGACACGGCCCAGACUCCUACGGGAGGCAGCAGUGGGGAAUAUUGCACAAUGGGGGAAACCCUGAUGCAGCGACGCCGCGUGGAGGAAGAAGGUCUUCGGAUUGUAAACUCCUGUUGUUGAGGAAGAUAAUGACGGUACUCAACAAGGAAGUGACGGCUAACUACGUGCCAGCAGCCGCGGUAAAACGUAGGUCACAAGCGUUGUCCGGAAUUACUGGGUGUAAAGGGAGCGCAGGCGGGAGAACAAGUUGGAAGUGAAAUCCAUGGGCUCAACCCAUGAACUGCUUUCAAAACUGUUUUUCUUGAGUAGUGCAGAGGUAGGCGGAAUUCCCGGUGUAGCGGUGGAAUGCGUAGAUAUCGGGAGGAACACCAGUGGCGAAGGCGGCCUACUGGGCACCAACUGACGCUGAGGCUCGAAAGUGUGGGUAGCAAACAGGAUUAGAUACCCUGGUAGUCCACACCGUAAACGAUGAUUACUAGGUGUUGGAGGAUUGACCCCUUCAGUGCCGCAGUUAACACAAUAAGUAAUCCACCUGGGGAGUACGACCGCAAGGUUGAAACUCAAAGGAAUUGACGGGGGCCCGCACAAGCAGUGGAGUAUGUGGUUUAAUUCGACGCAACGCGAAGAACCUUACCAAGUCUUGACAUCCCUUGACGAUGCUGGAAACAGUAUUUCUCUUCGGAGCAAGGAGACAGGUGGUGCAUGGUUGUCGUCAGCUCGUGUCGUGAGAUGUUGGGUUAAGUC